UCUAUCAUACAAGGUCUUGGAGACUGAGGCCGAGCUUCAGGCUGCAGGUCUCCUUUAUACAGGGGCCUGUGGGAGGAGCCACAGGAGCAGUCAGCAGGGGCGUGUCCCGACAGGCACAUAGUUCACCACAGUACACUAUUUGAACUCCGAGAUAUCUCUGGUACUUCUUUCUCACUGGGUCUAAAUCCUGGACCUCCUUCCUUCCAACACUAUGGACGUGUGUUUUUUCAGAAGGACUGCAGUGGUUUAAGAAGUUGGUUCACCACAUUUUCAAAAGCUAUCAGCAAUUUUCCGGGUAAUUCAAUAUUCAGUCAAUAGCAACAACCUUUCCAAACCUGUGGACCUGUGGCACAAAUUCCUCUGCUGGAUGCAACGACACAGUAACUUAUUGAUCUCUGAGAGGAUUCCAGGAACCAGAGGCAGCAUGCCUGAACCUCGUGGUGAGAAGGCUGCAGGAUGGGACGCAUGCCGAUAUUCAACUCCAUUUUGCUGAUGAAUGUGUCGAGGGAAAUCUAAACAUCAAGACAAUGUGGAAGCUGCCAGAAACAAGUUGCGUUUUGCUCCAAAGCAAUUAGCAUUUAUUCAUGGUGACCUUGUGUCUCCCUCCUGGGGUUUGGUAAUUAAGGCAAAGGUUGCUCAUGCUGCAGAUGAUGCUCUGUAACCAUGGUAGUGUACCAUUGGAAGGUAACAUCUUGUUUGCCUAAUCUCCUGCAAA